UUUGUUAUUAGUUUUUGUGCAUAUCAUCAGAUGAGUAAUUGAGUUACUAUGUACCAUAGCUUAUCAUGGUUCAUGUUAUCUGUUAUACGUAUAUGUAGUUUGGUUGUUGUUUUGCACUAAGUAGCAUAGCAUGUGUUGGCUAUUUUUAAUCUAAUUAUGCAUCUGUAUAGAUUCUUACAUAGAAUGAGUUUAACAAGCAUCAUUUGAGAACCAUUAUUAGAUUCAGGUUGAUAUUUUGUUACCAUAUUUUAAUAUUCAUUGCUGACUCCAUGUGUUACUACAAACUGUUAAAAGAGUUCCAAUCCCACAUUUAAAGUAUACAACAAAUUCAAUGGGCUUAUAAGGGCAAAGGCUAACUAAGCUAUUUGGUUAGGUCUAACCUUUUAAUAACUAUUGGUUCAAGUCCAAGUAAGUCCAUCUCAUGCUUGGAAACUAUACAAUUAUCCUAAUCUAGAAAUCCCUUGAUUUUAGGGAUUUAAUAUCAGCUAUAAUAUUUACAUUCCUAUCUUAAACUAUGGAAAGAAGUGCAUCUAGUAAUCUCUACUUGCAUUCUCUUUUGUGUAGGCACAAAGCAAAUGUGCAGUUUACAUCAAAUGUAAGUACCAUAUGUUUUUAUUUAUUUUAUCAAUUUAUUUUUUCAAAAAGCUUGGUUUUGUAAUUAUGUCACCAUCUUAAUGGGUUCCUUUCCUUGACCAUCCAAGCAUUAGGUUAUAGAGGGAGUGUUAGAAUAGUAGUGCAGAGAAUACAAGAAAACAGAGAAUUUUGAAGUGGAAGCUUUGAAAUCAUCUCACUUACAAUGCUUACAAAAUGUUUAAAUACAACAAAAAGUAAAAAUCUAUCAACUACUCCAACAGAAAAGGAGGUGCCUUCUGCUACCAAAAUGAUGAGAUCAUCAGGAUGCUGGGAAGUCAUGAGCAUUUUCUCAAUGUAACAAAGACUUCGUCAGAUUGCAGAUAUAUGGUUUCUUGUCUGAUGUAUUAACAAUGGUCAAAUACUUCUCUCUGUAAUGAUGUAUGCAGGAAGAAACAAUUGGUUCACAUGCUGAAGCAGGAUAUUCCCGGAGUUUCUUGGACCAACAAUGCGAGUUAUUUGAGAAUGUUUUCCUCAAAAUACAGAGCUCAAUUCCACAUUCAAACACCAUUCUGCUUAUGAGAGAUUUACACGGAUGGAAAAUUUCUAAUCAAAGUUUCUUGUUGCCUCAAAGACCUAUACAGGAGCCUCUCAAAUAGCGGGCAUUUCUCAUCAAGCAAAUCUAAUUUAACAAAAUGGUCCACACCCCCCGAAUGUCAACACUUAAAUAGUUGUCCACCACGUUCUUAGGUGGAUGUUCUUGUUGAUGCCCAAUCUUCAAGUUUGUCAAGCUUUUUGUGUUGCAAUCAUAACGAUUUGAUUAUGUUUUUGAUGUAGUUGUUGAGAUUGUGGUCAUAAAUAUUAUCCCUUCAUAUGUUUUCUAUAAUAA